AGCAGCCGCGGUAAUUCCAGCUCCAAUAGCGUAUAUUAAAGUUGUUGCAGUUAAAAAGCUCGUAGUUGAACCUUAGGCCCGUGCGGGCGGUCCGUCCUCUGGGCGAGCACUGCUUCGUCGCGGGUCUCACCUUCUAGCGAGCGUGGAUGCCAUUUAUUUGGUGUCCGCGGGAACCAGGACCUUUACCUUGAAAAAAUUAGAGUGCUCAAAGCGGGCUCCGACGCUUGAAUACAUUAGCAUGGAAUAAUGAAAUAGGACGAUGGUUCUAUUUUGUUGGUUUCCGGGACGGUCGUAAUGAUUAAUAGGGAUAGUUGGGGGCAUUCGUAUUCAAUUGUCAGAGGUGAAAUUCUUGGAUUUAUUGAAGACGAACUACUGCGAAAGCAUUUGCCAAGGAUGUUUUCAUUAAUCAAGAACGAAAGUUGGGGGAUCGAAGACGAUCAGAUACCGUCGUAGUCUCAACCAUAAACUAUGCCGACUGGGAAUCGGGGCGAUGUUACUUUUCUGACUCGCUCGGCGCCCC
rnacentral:rRNA from 1 species